rnacentral:snoRNA from 1 species
UGGGGUGCCUGUAGCUCUGCAUGUUGGGUGAUUUCUUAUUUUGUUUUCAGCUGUGCCACUAAUAUGUUAUUUCUAACUUUGGGUGAUUUGUAUGCCGAUUUUCCCGCUGAACCGAGCCAUCUUGUAUUGCUCAUUUUUUUCUUAUUUCUGGUUUGAUAUUUUGUGUUAAAAUUUGUAUAUUUUUUUAUUCCUUUUCGGUUUAGAUCUGUGUUCUUUGCAUUGGAGGAGGCUGUUGCGAUGAGGAUAUUAUGCUCCCUCUUCUGAAGGCAUUGAGGACGCUCGCUGGCAGAAUCGAACAAAUUAUUAAAGCCACCACUGAGUAGCAUGAAAUCCUCCUCCAAUUUGUUCUUAUUAUUUCUAUGUUUUUUAUUGUUUUCUUAGAUCUGUUUGGAUUGUGAGGAGGUAAUUGAUGCAUAAUCCAACACUUGAUCAGAGGAUGGCUUUUGUCGUCCAUAUGACGUUACACAUCUCUGCAUCUGAAUCCAGUCACAGAACAUAUCCUUUAUCGUUUAUAGUUUGUGGAAUUUUUACAGUAUCAGAGGAUGAAACCUUAUAACAAUCUUAGGACACCUUCUGACACAGUGCAAUCACACUGUGAAUGAGAAGGCUUUUCUUUCUGAUGAUGCUUUAAAUAUCCAAUUUAUAUUCUUUCAUCCAAUCUUGCGUGUUUUAUAAUUGUUUCUGCUUCCUACAUCUAUGAUUUUGAGCCUGUGAUGAUUAGCAUAUUGUUGGAAUUACCGUCGGAUUAUCAAAUGACGACAUUUGUCUGUCUUCCUGAGGCUUAAUCCAAUAAUAUUGUAGUUUAUAUAGAUCUAAAUUCUGUUCAUGUAUUAUGAGUUGCAACCUUGUCCCGGUGAGGAAUCUAAGACCAUAGGAAGUGCCGUAUGACACUUUAAACAGCAGCUGCUUUUCUCCUUUGCAAGUGUCCAUCCUUCGACCAUAACCUUUGUGGUUUGGUCUUGGAUGGAGUACCCAUUUGCAAUUGGUUUAAUUCGGGUGUGUGUGAUUUUAAACGGGUCUCUGAGGGAUUGUGCGUAGCUUUGUCUCAUAUAAUCUAAAAUUUGCAUCUGCUAUUUUUGUGAUUGUUUAGGCCUGAUGCCACGUCACCUGUAGCUAUGGCUUUGACCGGUGAUGCUUUGAUUAGGCCAAAACCGAGUUGGUUUCGGACGUUUCACAUGUUUAUAGGAACCUGGGACUGCAUCUCCAUCGGUCUACAGAGCCGGUUUCUGUGAUUACAUUUGAUUUAUUUGAAGUAACAACUUUUUUGGUUUUUGUUUUUAUUUUCUUACAAAUCCUUAAUAGUAUGGCAAUGAUGAUAAAUUUAAGGCUUGUUUCUCAUAACAUUCGCAGUUGCCGCCUAAGAGCUCUCGCCCUGCCAGGCUUGAGAGCUAAUGCUGUUGAUUCCUUCCUUGGAUGUUUGAGCCAUUUUCUUUAUAUAUUACUAUUUGUGUUCUUUUGCUCUGUGUAAGUUGGUGUUCUGCAUUGCAAAUGAUGCUAUAAUCAAGGCUUGUUUCUCAUGACAUUCGCAGUUGCCGCCUAAGAGCUUUCGCCCUGCCAGGCUUGAGAGCUAGUGCUGCUAAUUCCUUCCUUGGAUGUCUGAUGCCUAGCAACACCAACUCUAUCCUAUUUAAAUAAUUUGUUUUGCCCAUUUUUUAAUUCAUUCUCUUCAAUUAAUUUGAUUGCCAGUUUGGACAUUCAUGUUUACUGAAAAGUAUUUGGGCUGUGAUGGAUGCCUUGUGAUGCUAAAAUCAAGGCUUGUUUCUCAUGACAUUCGCAGUUGCUGCCUAAGAGCUUUCGCCCUGCCAGGCUUGAGGGUUAGUGCCACUGCUGCAGCAAAUCUCCACCUCUUUCCU